rnacentral:tRNA from 1 species
GCAGCCUAAGAAGUAAGAGCGGCAGCCUCCGAAGCUGUAGGUCAGAGGUUCGAAUCCUCUCGGGUGCA